rnacentral:rRNA from 1 species
AGAGUUUGAUCCUGGCUCAGGAUGAACGCUGGCGGUAUGCUUAACACAUGCAAGUCGAACGAAAUCUUUCGGGAUUUAGUGGCAGACGGGUGAGUAACGCGUGGGAACAUGCCCUUCGGUUCGGAAUAACCAAUGGAAACGUUGGCUAAUACCGGAUACGCCCUUUUGGGGAAAGGUUUACUGCCGAGGGAUUGGCCCGCGUCCGAUUAGCUUGUUGGUGAGGUAACGGCUCACCAAGGCGACGAUCGGUAGCUGGUCUGAGAGGAUGAUCAGCCACACUGGGACUGAGACACGGCCCAGACUCCUACGGGAGGCAGCAGUGGGGAAUAUUGGACAAUGGGGGCAACCCUGAUCCAGCCAUGCCGCGUGAGUGAUGAAGGCCUUAGGGUUGUAAAGCUCUUUCGCACGCGACGAUAAUGACGGUAGCGUGAGAAGAAGCCCCGGCUAACUUCGUGCCAGCAGCCGCGGUAAUACGAAGGGGGCUAGCGUUGCUCGGAAUCACUGGGCGUAAAGCGCGCGUAGGCGGAUCUUUAAGUCAGGGGUGAAAUCCCGGGGCUCAACCCCGGAACUGCCUUUGAUACUGGGGAUCUUGAGUUCGAGAGAGGUUGGUGGAACUGCGAGUGUAGAGGUGAAAUUCGUAGAUAUUCGCAAGAACACCAGUGGCGAAGGCGGCCAACUGGCUCGACACUGACGCUGAGGCGCGAAAGCGUGGGGAGCAAACAGGAUUAGAUACCCUAGUAGUCC